rnacentral:rRNA from 1 species
CCUACGGGAGGCAGCAGUGGGGAAUAUUGCACAAUGGGGGGAACCCUGAUGCAGCAACGCCGCGUGGGUGAAGAAGCGCCUCGGCGCGUAAAGCUCUGUCAGCAGGGAAGAAAAUGACGGUACCUGAAGAAGAAGCCACGGCUAACUACUUGCCAGCAGCCGCGGUAAUACGGAGGGGGGAAGCGUUAUCCGGAUUUACUGGGUGGAAAGGGGGCAAAGACGGCGAUGCAAGCCAGGAGUGAAAGCCCGGGUCCCAACCCCGGGACUGCUCUUGGAACUGCGUGGCUGGAUUGCAGGAGGGGCAGGCGGAAUUCGUGGUGUAGCGGUGAAAUGCGUAGAUAUCAGGAGGAACACCGGUGGCGAAGGCGGCCUGCUGGACUGCAACUGACGUUGAGGCCCGAAAGCGUGGGGAGCAAACAGGAUUAGAUACCCCUGUAGUC